rnacentral:rRNA from 1 species
UACGGAGGGUGCAAGCGUUGUCCGGAAUCACUGGGCGUAAAGAGCUCGUAGGCGGUUUGUCGCGUCUGCUGUGAAAACUCGGGGCUUAACUCCGGGCCUGCAGUGGGUACGGGCAGACUAGAGUGCGGUAGGGGAGACUGGAAUUCCUGGUGUAGCGGUGAAAUGCGCAGAUAUCAGGAGGAACACCGGUGGCGAAGGCGGGGUCUCUGGGGCCGUAACUGACGCUGAGGAGCGAAAGCGUGGGGGAGCGAACAGGA